rnacentral:rRNA from 1 species
CUCCUGGGGUAUGUGCACACCUUGAUCAUGCAUCCAACUCUUACACCUGUGCACUUAUAUGUAGCUUGGGAUGAUUACGACAUUAGAAAUGAUGUUGAAUGCCCUAGCUAUGAAUUUUUACACACAUAUAUAAAAAGUUAUAGAAUGAAGUUAUAGCGUGUAACAACGUGAAUAUAUACAACUUUCAGCAACGGAUCUCUUGGCUCUCGCAUCGAUGAAGAACGCAGCGAAAUGCGAUAAGUAAUGUGAAUUGCAGAAUUCAGUGAAUCAUCGAAUCUUUGAACGCACCUUGCGCUCCUUGGUAUUCCGAGGAGCAUGCCUGUUUGAGUGUCAUGAAUAUAUCAACUGCUUUUAGCAUUUAGAUGAUAAAAGUGAAGUUGGAAUUGGAGGAUAAUUGCUGGCGUGACUUAGGUCGCUUGUUAGCUCCUCUUGAAAGUAUGAGCUUUUCUAAUAGAUCAUGGCUUAAUAACACUAAUGUGAUAAGUAUCUACGUUAGAUGUUUGUAGCUAUGAGUUG